GAGCUAAAGUCAAGCUCAUUUGUUUGCAGGAUUAUUGGGAAGUCAGAGUCCCUGGCUCAGAGCAGAGAAGGCAGCAGCCUGCUCCUUUUGUUGAGAACUAUGCUAUGGGGAGCACAGGCUCCGGCACGUGCGCGUGUGUUUGUGUGUGUGUGUACAUUCCUAGGAAAGAGAGAGGAACGUGAAAGCCUUGUUCCGAAGCCUGAGGACCCUGACUGUGUAGCUGUGACCCUUCAGCUUCCACCCUUGCCCCACGCAUGACCCAGUUUGGUUGGACCCCAGCCUGAUGGGGUAGGGAGCUUUGCUACUUUCUCAGUGUGAACAAAUGAUUUCUUCUUUCAGGGUUCACCUACUCCUGGACUCUCAGGUGUUAAGACCACAAAAGACCCAAGACCUGAGCCAUGACUGGAGAAGCUGCACUGAAAUUUUCCAGAAGGACCUGAAGAUUUCACGUAUAAGUGCUAUCAUAGGAUGUCUGUCUUUCUCAAGACCUAUCUUUGUUGAAAUCUGGGAGAAGAAAUCCAGUCAGACCAGCCAAGGGGGUCAGCAGACGCUGUUUGUGCAUCUUUCAUCUGCUUGGCGCUACUCCUUCCUCCAGCCAUGGCCCAGUGUCUCCAACAGGCUUGGACCAGUUUCUUGCAGGUGCAGCCCUGAAGCCCUCCCCUCUGUCUGUGCCCUGCAUCUCUCACUUCCUAUCAGGGGCUUCUCUGAGGCCCUAGCCUGGGUCUCCCUGUGUUAUUGCGUCCAAGCUCUUGUUGCUCAUUGCGGGACAGGCCAACAAAGAGAGAGACAAGGUCAAGUUGGGGCAAGAAAUAGUGACUUCAUUCAGAAAGCCAGCAAACCAAGAAGGGCCACCACUAGUGUCAGAAUUCGGGCUUCUUUGAUACUAAAAGGGGAGAGGGUGUGGUUGUUUGCUGCAAACUUCUUGGUGUCAGAAUCCUUUGUUCUUGGAGCUGUCCCUGUAGGUCAGCUCAUAACAUUCCUGUAAACCCCCAACAAGACAAAUAUUACUCUCCGUUCUGCAACUUUUUAUCUCUAGCGUUUAUGGAAAAGUU
rnacentral:lncRNA from 1 species